ensembl:lncRNA
GUAACACUGGCGAAAGUGGAGUGUGGAAAUGUCAGCCCUCGUGGAAACGGGCUGGCCAGUGAGUGGUGCAGCGAACACCUCAGCCCUCUUCCCUAGAGCCCAGCGUCUGAGGAUCUGUAGGAAGCUCUUCAGUAGGACUGGAUUAUUUUGGAUCACUCACUGCACUCUCCAGAAGGUCCUGCUAUGCUGCAUCUGGGCAUCCCAAUAGACCCAAAAUAGUCAUGAAGCUGUGAGAGCUUGGCAGGGAGACAUGGACUCUCAAGCUUCUCUUCCUUCCACCCUCCUUUUAGAAAACUGAACUGAUCCAUAGAUCUCAUUGGCAGUCCAGUUAGUAGAAAUAUUUCAUGAGGUACUGAGUGGGGCUACAGGUGUGGCUCCCAUUCUGUAAAUCUCCUUCCACGACCUACUCCCAAUCAAAAAGGGCUCUCUUUAACUGUUGCCCAAAGUUCAGUAUGAUUUGCUGUGCUAUGGGUUGGUCUGGGAGCUUUUGAUCUGGUCCUGAGAUUGACCCUCUCCCUCAACUCAUAAACCUUGAUUCUGGAGUAAAUCGAGUUUAAUGGAGCAUGAUCUGUCUAUAGUUACAUUUGUGCAACACUACAGACUUAAGCAGAGGUUGCAUGGGUGCAACCAAAGGCAUUUUUUUUGGCCCAAUGCACAUUGAAACUGGCAUUAUUGUAGAUUCCAAGGCCAGAAGGACCCUUGUGAUCAUCUAGUCUGGCCUUCUGUAUAACACUGUCUAUAGAACCGUCCCCAAAUAAUUCUUAUAAAAACAUCCAAUCUUGAUUUAAAAAUUGUCAGUGAUAGAGAAUCCACCACAACCCUUGGUGACUUGUUCCCAUGGUUAAUUAUCCUCACUGUGGUGGUUUUUUUUUUUUUUUUAGUCCUUAUUUCCAGUCUGAAUUUGUCUAACUUCAGCUUCCAGCCAUUGCAUCUUGUUACAAGCUUCUCUGCUAGACUGACGAGACCACCCAUUAAAUAUUUGUUCCCUGUGUAGGUACUUACAGACUAUGAUCAAAUAGCCCUGUAACCUUCUCUUUGUUAAGCUAAAUAGAUAGACUGAAGGAGCUCAAUCACUAUAAGGCAUGUUUUCUUAUCCUUGAAUUAUUCUUAUGGCUCUUGUCUCUCCAAGUUAUCAAUAUUCUUCUUGAAUUGUGGACACCAGAACUGCUUCAACUGCUUGGAGGAUUUACUAAAGUAUUCAGUUGAUCCCAUUCCAUUUUCAGGUUUUAAAAUCUCACAUUUUUCAGCUUGACAUGCCGAUUCACAGGAUGAUAUUUUAGGAUUGAAAAUAUUGGUUAUAGAGGGAAUGACUUCAUGGCUCAUCAAGGGAUCAAUAAUAAUAUAGAGAUUGCCACCUCCAGGUCAUUGGUGGAGAUCCGCUGUCAGAUCAGUAGUGACUAGAUGUUAUCAAACAGCAAUUCACAGACCUUGUUGGAGUGCGGCUUUUAUGUUCAGCACAUUUCCUAGCUAAAUUGGUAUUUGGAUCAUAGUCCCUACCACUGCCCACAAGGGCUGUCGACAGUCUCAAUAGAGGUGAAGCACUUAGCUGGCCUGGAGAAUGAACUGUUAGAAGCCGUCCUUCUAGAACAUCAUGGAAGCAUAUUAUCAUUAACUUAGAAGUACCCAUGCCAGAGCAGUCAAUAUACUGUUCUUCAAAAGCACCAAUGUUUGCUUUUAUAUUAUAACAACAAAAAAGAAAAAGUUGGAAAUUGUAGCAGAAUAAGCUUUGCAGUACUAAGUCUUUAAUCACUCUCCUGAUCCAAAAACUUCCCACAUCUUGCAUUUUGUUUCACAUUGUUUUGAAAAAUGAGACUCCGAAGUAGAAAAUAUAAACUUUAGUUUUUGUUUGUUGUUUGGUUUUGUUUUUUUAAGUACUCAGAUCAGUCAGGCAAGAAAGGUAAUCUCUUUAGUAAAAUGAAUUGUCUUUGAGUGUCUUGAGUGAUUGAAAUCCCUUAAGACCCUGAUGUCAUGGGUCAAAUGUGGCCUCUCCUCACCCCUUUCCCUGUAUUAAGUGGUCCAUAAAAGAUGCAUGUACCAAAUUUUACGUUUCAAACUCAAUGGAAACAAAGAAAUGUAUGGUCAGUAACCUCAUAAAAGAGUCUAUUAUCAGGGCCAACCUAGACCAAAUGGUGUCCCAGGCAAGGAGCCUCUUAGGCGCCCUCUCAUUUGUUAAACUUUGAAUAACUUGGUUUCUAUUGCAUUUGUAGCUCAUUUCACAACUUUGAUGCAUGAUUUGCAUGAAUGAUUUAUCUCUGUCAUAUAAGACAAUAAAUUUGCAUGCUAAGAUCUGUAAAUCUGUAUUUUAUUCAUGCCAUAUAUAAGCA